UUGUUGUUGUUGUUGUUGUUGUUAUUUUCUUCAUCUCUUUAUCUGCUUGCUGUUCGAUGACCUCGGCGAGUGUGGUUUUGAUUGGCAGGAAUGUUACUUUGUCUUUCGAUGACGUUGACGCUAUUUUCGCUCCAGCAGUUAAGAGCUCAGGUGAAUGUGGGGCAUUGUAUUUGGCAGAGCCUCUUGAUGCGUGUUCAGAUUUGAGA
rnacentral:misc_RNA from 1 species